rnacentral:misc_RNA from 1 species
AAAAUUUUGUAAUUUUAAUUUUAUUUCAAAAAAAAAUCCCGUUUCUUCAAUAGCAAAUUUCCUUAUAAACAAGAUUACCAUUUUGUCCCUCUCUGCCGAAAAGGAACAAUGGCGGGGAAUAUCUAGAUUAACUGACAAGUGGCAGAAUGCUCACAUUUCAGGGUGGCAAGCUGCAGCAGAGCUUUUAAUUUCUAGAAAAUUACAGAGAAAUUCGAGUCUCGAACAGAUAUUGUGAGCACUUGAUUGAUCUACGAGCACAGCCACACAUUUUCCUGCCACAUUCAGAACUUGACCUUCAAAAGCAUACAGCUAAUUAAGAAAAGAAUACAAAACAGAAACCAACAAAGAUGCACAUGUGUGCUUGUAAAGAAGCAAAAGAAACAUAAAUAAAUAACAAGCUACGAACUAGUUAUAAGCCUGAAUGUCGUUUUCGUACAGUCGGGCAGACUCAGGAUUUGCAGGACUUGCAGGAUUUGGGUCAGUGACAAGUGACUGCAAUGGUUUAUUUAUCAGUUAAUGAAAAAUAAGAAAUGGAAAAGAAAGGUAACAUUAACAUAUUCAUAGUUUUUAAUAGAAAUCAAAGAGAGAGAGAGAUAUGGUGGUUUGCAUAUUAGCUGAACAGAUGUCAAAAUUGUAGAUACAUUGUGGCAGGGUGACCAUGCAUCCUGAAUAAUAUCCAUAUGCAGAGCGCACCAUCACAGUAAACUUAAGACAGGCUGGAAAAAAGCACAGCAGCGCUUCCUAAUAAGUUGAUGCUUCCUGCCCAGCAAGAUUACAUACCCAAGAUGAGAAUUCGUUGUAAAUCUCUCAGCAAAAUCCUCAUAUUUGGUUUGGAGCUUGCAAAGAUCUACCCAGAACUGAAGUUCUAAAGAAAAAUGAAGAGCAACUACACUCAGAUGCUGACACACAGAAAUUAAAACCUGUGGAGAGGCCAAAUGCUAAACGAACAAUGAAAGGAUAAAUUAGAGGAGGCAAAGACUGGAAUAUGAUUACAAUCACCAAUAGAACAAUCUUUUACAAUGACAAAGAAGGUUAACUUAAUACGCACAAUCAUUUAACUUUUCUGCAACUGAAACACAACGCCCUCCAAAUCAUGCCCCUUUGAGCUGAGUUGCUGAUUCCCAAAUCUUGGUCUCAGUCACAGUAGAAGAAGUUAUUUUACAUCAAACACAACCAUUUAGCACGCACGCAAGUGAAUCUAUCCACCGUUUGGUAUCACCAUGUAUCCAAUUGCAAGGUAACUUCCUAUGUCCUCAAAGAAUUCAACUCUAUAAUAUGCAUUACUCUCACUAGUAGUCCUACAAACAUCAUUCAUCAUAAAUCCACGAUCUUAGCACCUCAAAACUUUAAUUGAUUUACCUCCAAUUAUAACAUACUUGCAUACAAACAAGAAAUAUAUGCAGAUAACUAUUUAAACACCACCUUAAUAAAAAUUAAAAAAAAAAUAAUGAUCUGGAACCCCUAAUGCUCCCAAGAAAAAAUAGAAUAAGCUCUAAAUCACUUAUUAAUGAUACCAAUUAGAAAUUAAUAGAUGACCUCAGGUGGAUCGGGCUGAUGAUGGAUUUGAGAUCGAACUUGCGAUGAACCGGAGCUGAGCUGAUCAUGACGACGAUGCAGCCAGGAAAUUUCAUUAAUGUAAUUAAUGUGUUUCUUUGAGACCCAAAAAGUAAACGUAAAGGAUGAAAGACCCAGACAAAGGAGCAGGGAACGAGUCGAAACUGCUUCUGUUUGCUGUAAGUAAAAGCAUUGAGCAAUUCUCAACCAGCUUUUCUUCUUUCUUCCUAUCCUUUGUAUUUUAUUAUUAAUUUUGGAUCAUUUAAUUGAUUUAUUAGAAAGUUUUAAUCCAAAAAAUUAUCGCAUCGUUGGUUACAUACAGGAAAGGACCG